rnacentral:rRNA from 1 species
CAGCAGUGAGGAAUAUUGGUCAAUGGCCGGAAGGCUGAACCAGCCAAGUCGCGUGAGGGAAUAAGGCCCUAUGGGUCGUAAACCUCUUUUGUCAGGGAGCAAAGGCGUCCACGUGUGGACGAGAGGAGAGUACCUGAAGAAAAAGCAUCGGCUAACUCCGUGCCAGCAGCCGCGGUAAUACGGAGGAUGCGAGCGUUAUCCGGAUUUAUUGGGUUUAAAGGGUGCGUAGGCGGAGUGUCAAGUCAGCGGUAAAAUUUCGGGGCUCAACCCCGUCGUGCCGUUGAAACUGACACCCUUGAGUGAGUGAGAAGUAAGCGGAAUGCGUGGUGUAGCGGUGAAAUGCAUAGAUAUCACGCAGAACGCCGAUUGCGAAGGCAGCUUACCGGCGCUCAACUGACGCUGAGGCACGAAAGUGCGGGUAUCGAACAGGAUUAGAUACCCUGGUAGUCCGCACAGUAAACGAUGAAUGCUAGAUGUCCGGGGCGAAUGAGCUCUGG